rnacentral:rRNA from 1 species
GACGAACGCUGGCGGCGUGCCUAAUACAUGCAAGUCGAACGCUUCUUUCCUCCCGAGUGCUUGCACUCAAUUGGAAAGAGGAGUGGCGGACGGGUGAGUAACACGUGGGUAACCUACCCAUCAGAGGGGGAUAACACUUGGAAACAGGUGCUAAUACCGCAUAACAGUUUAUGCCGCAUGGCAUAAGAGUGAAAGGCGCUUUCGGGUGUCGCUGAUGGAUGGACCCGCGGUGCAUUAGCUAGUUGGUGAGGUAACGGCUCACCAAGGCCACGAUGCAUAGCCGACCUGAGAGGGUGAUCGGCCACACUGGGACUGAGAAACGGCCCAGACUCCUACGGGAGGCAGCAGUAGGGAAUCUUCGGCAAUGGACGAAAGUCUGACCGAGCAACGCCGCGUGAGUGAAGAAGGUUUUCGGAUCGUAAAACUCUGUUGUUAGAGAAGAACAAGGACGUUAGUAACUGAACGUCCCCUGACGGUAUCUAACCAGAAAGCCACGGCUAACUACGUG